rnacentral:rRNA from 1 species
UACGAAGGGGGCGAGCGUUGUUCGGAAUUACUGGGCGUAAAGGGCGCGCAGGCGGCUCGACAAGUCAGAUGUGAAAGCCCCGGGCUCAACCUGGGAAUUGCAUUUGGGACUGUCGGGCUAGAGUUCGGGAGAGGUGGGUGGAAUUCCCAGUGUGAGAGGUGAAAUUCGUAGAUAUUGGGAAGAACACCGGUGGCGAAGGCGGCGACCUGGUCCUUGACUGACGCUGAGGCGACGAAGCGUGGGGAGCAAACAGG